rnacentral:lncRNA from 1 species
CUUCAUUCAUUCCUCCAAAGACCAUUCCCGGUCCGCCCAAGUCAGUAGUAGUAUUAAAUUUUAUGUCAACUCUCGUGUAAUUUAAUGUUUCAAUUAUUUAUGUGACAUAAUGCAUUUCCAGUGUACUUUGAGUUUUUAUGAAGCAAUUUUGUUUAUUAAGGAGGCAUAUGAGAUGUAAAUUGGCAUUAUGAAACGCCUUAGAAAUCCAGAGUGGACGUUCGUGGUAUCUGUCGCUUCCUUUUUUUGAAACCCAAAG